AGAGUUUGAUCCUGGCUCAGAGCGAACGCUGGCGGCGCGCUUAACACAUGCAAGUCGAACGCGAAAGUCACCUUCGGGUGGCGAGUAGAGUGGCGGACGGGUGAGUACAACGUGGGUAACCUGCCCCUGAAUCGGGAACAACCCUUCGAAAGGAGGGCUAAUACCGGAUAAUACCCAGAGCACAUAAGUGCUUUGGUUCAAAGGAGGCCUCUGUUUCAUGCUUUCGUUUGGGGAGGGGCUCACGCCCCAUUAGCUAGUUGGUGAGGUAACGGCCCACCAAGGCAACGAUGGGUAGCCGACCUGAGAGGGUGAUCGGCCACACUGGGACUGAGACACGGCCCAGACUCCUACGGGAGGCAGCAGUGAGGAAUUUUCCGCAAUGGGCGAAAGCCUGACGGAGCGACGCCGCGUGCGUGAUUAAGGCCUUCGGGUCGUAAAGCGCUGUCGAAGGGGAAGAACUGUACUUUGGCUAAUACCCAUCGUAUUUGACGGUACCCUUCAAGGAAGCCCCGGCUAACUCCGUGCCAGCAGCCGCGGUAAUACGGGGGGGGCAAGCGUUGCUCGGAAUUAUUGGGCGUAAAGGGCUCGUAGGCGGCCCAUCCAGUUGGUUGGAAAUCCCUCGGCUUAACCGAGGAACUGCGACCAAUACUAGUGGGCUUGAGUGCGGGAGAGGCGAGCGGAAUUCCAUGUGUAGCGGUGAAAUGCGUAGAUAUAUGGAGGAACACCGGUGGCGAAGGCGGCUCGCUGGACCGCAACUGACGCUGAGGAGCGAAAGCUAGGGGAGCAAACAGGAUUAGAUACCCUGGUAGUCCUAGCUGUAAACGAUGGGUACUUGGUGUGGUGGGUGUCGAUCCCCGCCGUGCCGGAGCUAACGCGUUAAGUACCCCGCCUGGGGAGUACGGUCGCAAGUCUGAAACUCAAAGGAAUUGACGGGGGCCCGCACAAGCGGUGGAGCAUGUGGUUUAAUUCGAUCAACGCGAAGAACCUUACCUGGGUUUGAACUGCAGUGGACCGCCUUAGAGAUAAGGCUUCCCUUCGGGGCUGCUGUAGAGGUGCUGCAUGCCUGUCGUCAGCUCGUGUCGUGAGAUGUUGGGUUAAGUCCCGCAACGAGCGCAACCCUUGCCUGUAGUUACCAGCGAGUAAUGUCGGGGACUCUACGGGGACUGCCGGUGAUAAACCGGAGGAAGGUGGGGAUGACGUCAAGUCCUCAUGGCCUUUAUGUCCAGGGCUACACACGUGCUACAAUGGUCGGUACAAUGUGUUGCGAACUCGCGAGAGUGAGCCAAUCACAAAAAACCGAUCUCAGUUCGGAUUGGAGUCUGCAACUCGACUCCAUGAAGUUGGAAUCGCUAGUAAUCGCGUAUCAGCAUGACGCGGUGAAUACGUUCCCGGGCCUUGUACACACCGCCCGUCACAUCACGAAAGCUGGCUGUACUAGAAGUCGCUGAGCUAACCCUUCGGGGAUGCAAGUGCCGACGGUAUGGUUGGUGAUUGGGGUGAAGUCGGAACAAGGUA
rnacentral:rRNA from 1 species